rnacentral:lncRNA from 1 species
AUAAAUUUUGCAUGUGCUGUUGACUGACAGAAGCCCUGGCUUCCUGUCUGACCAGCACACAUGGCUUCAAAGAGCACAGAAACCCCUUUCUUCUCUCCAAAAGGAACACUGAAACCCACGCAGGCAGCAUCAAACAUGUCUCUGAAGGGAGAAUAAAACAAUACUGCACCAGGGAAAGCAGCUUUCAUACAUUUAUGAAGCCCAACUUGCUCUUUCCCCUCUCCCUGCACAUUCCUGCCACUCACAAUUACCCAAGAUAUGCUCACUUUGCACACCCGGCCAUGCAAGCCACUGGCCUGGCGAGCAGCCUGGCAGCUGAAGAGAGGAAAAUGUCCUCCACCAUCCCACUAGCCAGCACUUCCUACCUCUGGGAUCAGCAGGCCGCUGUGGUCGCCCCUUGUUUAGUCUGAGUGGAUGCAGUAAUUGUCUGCAGCUGUGGCUCCUGCUUGCUCACACACUGUGGGCUGCACUAAGGUAGGGCAGCAGUGCCACUGCCUGCAGAAGAGUCCCAUGGCCUCCUAGUGUGCUGAUUCACACUGCUGUCCCUUGGUUGGGAACAACAGGGUUGGCCCAAAUGGCACAUGAAGUAUUGACUCCCCUACUGCUACCAGCAGGGCCACACAGUGAAGAAGGAACCACCAGCUGUCUGAAUGUUAAUUGCCUGACUUGGUGCUGCCAGAAAAGAGAACUGACAUGCUGAACCAUCUCUCGCCACAGAACAGCUCUGACUCUUAUAUUAUCAUUUAAAAUAUUUCACAUUUUGAGAACAUUUGUUCUUCAUAUUUUGCUUCUCUGCUGACGCUGCAUGCUCAGUGUGCCUAAACCCUUGCAGAUACAUCCCCACCACACAGACCCUAUCUUGUCUGUGAUAUUGUUAGGACUCCAUUACGCUAUCCUGCUUGUGGAGGGAACGCACUUCUGCAGAGAAAAGAAGUCUCAUGGGAACAACAGGCCAGUGACUGUUUAUCACAUUUUCACUUGCAGCAAGAUUAAAUCGCAUUUUAUCACACUGUCUUUAUCAAGAUAAAUAGUAUAAUAGUAUAGAAGAAUGGACUGAUGUGAGUGACUAGGAGUUUACCCCCCACCUCUUAACGUUAAGGAAUUUAAUGUUAAGCAAAACAGUACUGUUUUUAUACUUUGUUACAAACCUUUUUUGUUUGUUUGUUUUUACAAGCCUUUUCUCACAGGCCUCUGGGGCUGAAUUGUCAGAAAUUUGGCCCCUGUGAUCCAUGUGAUCCCAGAAAUUUGUGGCAAAGGGCUGCUGGAUACAAAUCUUGAUAUAAAAAAUACCUGGGCAGGGGGAUGAGGG